GAUGAAGAACGUAGUGAAAUGCGAUAAGUAAUGUGAAUUGCAGAAUUCAGUGAAUCAUCGAAUCUUUGAACGCACAUUGCGCCCGCCAGUAUUCUGGCGGGCAUGCCUGUUCGAGCGUCAUUUCAACCCUCAAGCCCUGCUUGGUGUUGGGGAUCGGCGUUGCCUCCUCCGUCGUUCGCGGCGGGGUGAGGUCGCCGCCCCCGAAAUGAAUUGGCGGUCUCGUCGCAGCUUUCCUUUGCGUAGUAACAUACCACCUCGCAACCAGGAGCGCGGCGCGGCCACUGCCGUAAAACGCCCAACUUUUUCAAGAGUUGACCUCGAAUCAGGUAGGAAUACCCGCUGAACUUAAGCAUAUCAAUAAGCGGAGGA
rnacentral:misc_RNA from 1 species